rnacentral:antisense_RNA from 1 species
UAUUUUCUUCCAACCUGUAAAAUUUAACAAUUAUUUGCCAAUUUUGAUAUUUAUUUUUUGUUGCUAAUUGUCCAACUAUGAUAAAUCUAAGAAUUAAAUAUUUCAAUAAUCAAAAAUCCAUAGAAUACUCAAGACAUACUAAUCUACCAUAAAUAAUACACUAAUCUUAGAUAAAAUAUUCUUGGCUAAAUCUCCAACGGAAUAUUUACCUGUAAUGGUAAUAUCUAACAAGUCGUAGAAAAUCUUGCUUCAGAUGCCACUAGAUGAGUAUUACUACAUAGUGCAAAUUUGACAAAUCUCGACUAGUCAAAUUCACAGUAAUUCAAAAUUUGAUUUUAUAAAUUAUUGGCUUUCAUUUUUUUUGAAUUGCAAGUAAAGAUAUGUUUCGCAUUCGUAAGCUUUGUUAGCAGUAUUAACGAGAUCCUUGCCAUAUGAGUGCUUUCUGAAAAGAUGAAUUCUUUCACAAAGUGAUGAGGUAAAACAUUCCAAGCAUGAAACAUCUCCAUUAGAGCAGAGAUCUUUACAGGUAGAGACUCUAUCGGAACAACUUUGGAGAUACGAGUUUUCUGUAAAUCUCAUCAUAAUAUUGAAUAUCAUUUUCUCCAUUAAAUUGACUAGAUCAUCAGUAGUACAUUCUCUAGGAUUGGGGAGGUAAUUACUAGUAGGAGCGCAUACAAUUUGUUUUGGAAUAUAAUCUCUCUUCUGGCAAACCAACAUCGCGGCGCUCAAGUCUGAAAUGUAUCCCAAUCUGGUACUAAUGACUUCUUGGUGCGAGGCUAAAGCAUCCUUAAGUUGUAGGAUUUCUUCUGUUUCAGGUUGAUUGGUCUCACUUUCUUUAUUUAUUAACUUUGUGAGAAGCAAUGACUUUGCGUAUAAGGCAUCAUUUUUACCUUGCAAAUUGACUAAUAAAGAACCAGCCCCUCUGACUAAUUCUUUGGAGCACUUUCUAUCAACAUCAAGCCCAUUAACUACUGAAACAACUUCAUUCUUAUAUUGCUCGUCCAAUUUAAUAGUUCUAUCCAACUCUAAAAGGAGCUCCUUUGUAUCUCUAGUAACUCUGACAUUGUAAACUGCCAAUUCAGAAGACAACUUUGAAAUUUGCUCCAUUUCACUAGCAAUCAAAGAAUCCAAAUUAUCAUCAAGACCUAUAACUGAAGAAGAGUAACCAUGAGUAAAACUAUCUGGAUGGCUGAAUCUCAUUUGUGAUGCCUUAGUUAAGACAUCUAAUUGCAUUGUGGCCAAGUGAGUCCCUGCUUUAGGCUUGCAAGUGUCAUCUACCAGAGCUGAUUCCUCUAAGGGUGACUUCUCAGCAAAAGUACCAUAUCCCUUCUUUGCUUUACCUAAUUUCUUUUCCUCAGCCUGUUUCAACUUCCUCAAUUUCUUUUCUUCCUCCUUUUGCUGUUUUUCUCUCAACUUCUCCUCCUUUUCCCUCUGUUUUCUUGCUUCCUUUUCAGCCUUAGUUUCCUUUUGUUUCUUUUCCUUCUUUGGUUUUUUCUCUUUCUUAGCCUUUUUAUCCUCUACAACAACAGUUCCUUGCUCAGCAACAGCAACUUCUUGCUCAGCAGCAGCAACUUCUUCCUCAUCAGUAGCACCCUCCUGAGUCUUCACCUUCUUCUCUUUCUUGGCCUUUUUCUCUUUCUUGGCCUUUUUCUCUUUCUUGGCUUUCUUAUCUUUGUCCUUCUUGCCCUCGGCCUCCUCUACAGGUCCUUCCUGAGCUCCUUCCUGAGCUCCUUCCUGAGCUCCUUCCUGAGCUCCUUCCUGAGCUCCUUCCUUAACUCCCUCCUGAGCUCCUUCCUCCCCGGCCUUUGAUUCCUUCACCUUUUUACCCUUCUUGGCUUUCUUCUCCUUCUUCUCCUUCUUUUGUUUCUUUUGUUUCUUAUUCUUCUUGCCCUUCUCAGCUUUCUUAUCUGGCUCACCUGAAUCUACUGUUGAAUCACUAGUAGAUGAAACAUGUGGCUCAAUAGAAGGGUCAACAGAAGUUUGCA